UAAAGGGUAGGCAGACUUCACACACAGGAACUACAGCAGCAGGACUAGGGACCGCAGUGCUACAACCAGAUUUUGCAUUAGGGAGAGAUGGGACCCGACAUAAUACAGAAAGGAAAAGUGGGACUUUACAGCCAAGGAGUUGGGUAGGGGUCGGGGGUCAGUGAACGGAAAAUUCCUGAGAGGAAACAACAGAGGUGAGGAGGGAUUUCAGGCUAAACCAACCUAACCCAACAAGACUCUUGCUGGAGGCAGGCAGGUGGUCAGACGUCACAUGGGGGAUGGAGGGAGAGGAAGCCCCUGAGCAGACACGGAGGGUGAGCAGAUAUCGAGGACGCGGGAUUCCAGCUAAACCGACUCCGCAAGAUUCUUGCUAAACCUGGACAAGGCAGAGGCAGAGAUGGAAGCACAAACGUCAGAGCCUGGUGGAGAAGAGUGUUCAGAGAAGCCUGACCAAAGCUUGAUCAAGGAGAGACUGUUGGCAGACAGAAGGCUAUUUUAAACAGUCCUAGUGGGAGUUAACCAGGGUUCCAAGCAGGAUGGAGAAACAAGAGCGGAAAGGAAAGAAGCACCUAAGACAAACACGGAAGGUAUGGUGGAUUUUUUGAAUGGAAAGGAAUUCUCAAUUAUAAAAUGAGGUUCUUCUUCUACAUGAAGAGUGAAUACUUCAUGCAACCAUGAAUUUUUGUCUGUUUACUCCACUGUUGUAUCCUCAAUGCCUAAAGCUAUGCCCAGCUGACAGUAGGUGCUAAAUAAAUAUUUGUGUGAUGAGCAAUCUAGGAAGAUUCUCGGGUUCUGACUCACCCCAAUGCAGAAGUAAUGAGUUCAUUCACAACGAUGUAUACUACAGAAGCAAGAAAAGAUUUGGGGAAAAUGAUGUCAACUUGCAAAUGUAAAACUGAGGUAUUCAUGGUACCUUCAAGUGCAGAUGUUCAGUAAGUAGUUGUGACAGAUGAGUUCAUGGGCUAAAGAUAAAAAUUUAGUGACCACCAACAUUUAGGUGAUAGUCAAAGCCAUUGAUGUCAACAAAAUGACUCAAAGAAAGUUGACUAAGAGGGAAAAUGCCUAAUAAGCUACAAGAAAGCCAUCAUUUCAGGGAUGGGCAGGGGAAGACGAUGCUAUUAAGGAUAUUAAUACUGGGUAGGUAAAAAGAUGGAGGAAAAGUCAGUUUAAUGUUGUCUCAAAAGCCAAAAGAAAUCAACAAUUUAAAAAAGAGAAAUAGUCAACAUCUAGCAUGAAGCACAGACACUAAGUAAAAUCAGGGCUGAAUCAUACAUAGCUUCUGGACACAGUAACUGAGAGGCUCUGGAGCCAUGGCUGGAACAGAGUUGUGGCAAGUUUGUUGGUAAAGGCAAGGUCUUAGUGGGAAGGAAGAAAGUUCUCGAACAAAAAAAAUCAACAAAGCAACGGUCUUGUUUUAGGAAGGUAUCAAGAAAUACCGUGCAUGAGAGAUGAAUUUAAAGAGAAUUAAGAAGGAAAACUAUUUGUAACACAAUGUACUGGAGGGAGGUGAACAGGGUCUGUAUAAAAGUGGUGUCAGUGGAAUAGCAGGGAAGAUCACUGUACAACAUCACAGAGAAAAAGAUCAUAUAAUUUAGUAAUGUAUUAGAUGCAAAUGUCAAAGGACAUUGAGAACUAAAAGGAGAUGCCAUGUUUAGAGUCAUGGCAGAUUGGAAAGAUAGGGAUAUUAAUAGCAAUGAAAAAAUCAGGAAUGAGAUCUGAUUGGUGGAGGAGAGAGGAACAUUCUAAUUUAGGAAGUAUUUUUAUCCUUCUGUAGUUUCCUAUUCCAAGUUUUAAAGAUAUCUGUGAAGGUGUACAUAACGAAUCCAUAAUUCAUGGAAAAGAAAUCCUACAGUCGUGGAAAUUGUCAUUAAUUUUAGGUAUACCGACUUAAUGAGAUAGUGCCUCACCUAUUUUUAUUGGGGUGUUAUUGGUAAAAAUCAUAGCCAUAAUUUCAACUGUGUAAUUAUAACUGAGGAAAAAUACAUCUGAUAUAUUUGUUAAAACUUUAGCUCCUUGGCGGUGAUGACGAUGCUAUGUGCGUGUGUGGUAAGUAAGUUCUGACGCGACAGUGGUAUCCUGAGGGCAUCAUGUGAGCUGCUUGCUGUUUGAAAGGCAACUCCUUCCUGAGCUACUCAAACAGCGGAAGGAACACAAUGCUCUCCAGCUACUGCUAUGCCCUCAAGCUUGGGCUGAAAUUUCUCAUUGAAGUUUUCUUUAAUUAGGACUGCUGAGACUCAAUUUCUGUAUUUCUUAAAAAAGUAUGAUUUCAUAGAACUUGA